GAGAGUGCAGAUUGAUGGAAAUCGCCCAAAGAUGUGGUUUUCAGUGAAGUAGACUCACUGCCGUCAAGGAUCCAAAAAGAUAAAGCAAAAACAACAAAACUAGGGAACCCUGUAUCUGAUCUCACAGCCAUCAAAUCAGGCAACUAAAAAAAGAGCAUUCUAUAGGGUAAAUGGCAGGGAAUACCUACAAGGUUAAAUAAUAUUCCUUACUCUAGAGGAAUCAGGACAUAUUUCUAUGACGAUGUGCUUCAAGCUAUGCAGAGAGCCAUAUAUGAUGGAAAAACAAGACUAAAGUUCUCCUCAUCAAAAUAUGCAUGUUACUCCCAAAGCCAAACUCAUGCUGCUCUUCUCGUGAACAUUUCAGGUAGAAAUUAAUAUCCCAGAGCUGAACCCAGAAAUGAUAAGAUGAUUGUAUGAGAACAUUUGGUCCUUCGUCAAACAGAUAAUAUGAAUUUAACCAUAUUUUAGUAAUGCAAUCUGGACAGGAUGUUUAUAGAAUAGGUACUCUGAUGGAACUUGUCAGAGUUAUUGCUCUUUCAUUGAUGGAAAACGUG